rnacentral:rRNA from 1 species
UACAGAGGUCUCAAGCGUUUGUUCGGAUUCAUUGGGCGUAAAGGGUGCGUAGGUGGCGCCGUAAGUCAGGUGUGAAAUCUCGGGGCUCAACCCCGAAACUGCACUUGAUACUGCGGUGCUCGAGUACUGGAGAGGAGAUUGGAAUUUACGGUGUAGCAGUGAAAUGCGUAGAUAUCGUAAGGAAGACCAGUGGCGAAGGCGAAUCUCUGGACAGUUACUGACA